AAAAAAUUAGUUAAAUUUUAUAACAUUAAUAUGUCAAAUUAAAAUUAUUAAUUUAUUUAAUAUUUUUUA
rnacentral:tRNA from 1 species